UGUCCUUCCAGCACGUCCAAACGGAUAAUUACCUUUUUACAAGGAUUGAUUGGCGUAGAGUAUUUGAUAAAGCAAGAAAUAUAAUAAAAUUAAUAAGUGCACAACACUGUAAAAUUACAAAUAUUCUCUCCUUCCUCUUCUUCCGAGGCCUACAGAAGCCUUAAUUAAUCUUUUUUUUUUUUUUUUUUCCUGUGUUGAACAGCCGAAGAUGAUUCGUGAUUUGGUUUCCUAACCAUUUAGAUCUCAUCACUGAUUUUUAUACCAUUCUUUAUUGUAUCGCACAAAUAAAUUUCAACCCGAUAUAAUUGGACGCUCUCUAAAAUGGUUCUCUCUAUCUCUCUCUUGUGAUCUUUCUCUGAAUCUCUCGUCUUCAACGAGCCAAAACUGGUUGAUCUGAUUGGUUAGGUAAUCCAGACUGGUUUGGCUUUUAAUCAGUUGUGUUCAAUUCUCUACAUUUGAGACACUGAAGGGUGAUUGGAAAUUGUAAUUCUUCUGCUUAGCUGAAUUGUGUGGAUUGUUGAUUCAUAAUUAGGAUUGCAAUUCAGGUGCCUGGGCCUCAGUUUGAUGCUUGUUAUAUAGUGAACUUAAGGAUUUUUUAUAAUGUGAGUACUGAUUGGUAUGAUCUCUCUGUGAAAGAUCUCCAGGAAGUUGUUUUCAAUGCUUGUAGGAAUUGUGCGGAUUCAUGGUAACAUAUAUAGAAGCUUAUAUGUUAUGAUAGGUUAUGGUUUUCACUGUUCUUGGAGGUUUAGUUUGACAUUGGUUAUUUAGUGGAUUCUGAAACAAUUUGGACAUGAGAAGCCCCUGGUUUAAUAAACCAUCUGUAGUUUUCGGCCCUAGACCGCCGCAUAGUUGGUUGCUGUUGUGCCUUAUUUGUGUGCUUGUACUAAUCGCUAUCUUAGGAUCCACAUCUUCAAGUGCAUUUGAUUCUGUAACUAACACUCCGGUUCCUGACAUUUAUUCAAACUAUAGAAGGUUAAAGGAGCAAGCUGCAGUUGAUUAUUUGGAGCUGAGAACCCUCUCGUCAGGAGCUAGCCGGCAAAAAGAACUGGGACUUUGUGGCAGAGAAAGAGAAAAUUAUGUGCCCUGUUAUAAUGUUUCAGCAAAUUUGUUGGCUGGGUUUAAAGAUGGUGAGGAGUUUGAUAGGCAUUGUGAAAUGUCAAGACCAAGACCACGGUGUUUGGUUCGCCCUCCAAAGGACUAUAAGAUCCCCUUAAGGUGGCCAGCUGGUAGGGAUGUGAUAUGGAGUAAUAAUGUGAAGCUUACCAAGGAUCAGUUUCUUUCAUCUGGAAGCAUGACCAAAAGGUUGAUGUUACUGGAAGAGAAUCAAAUUGCUUUUCACUCAGAAGACGGAUUGAUUUUUGAUGGUGUCAAAGAUUAUUCUCGCCAGAUUGCAGAGAUGAUAGGUUUAGGAAGUGACUCUGAAUUUCUUCAAGCUGGUGUGCAAACUGUGCUAGAUAUUGGUUGUGGAUUUGGCAGCUUUGGAGCUCAUUUAGUGUCACUGAAGUUAAUGGUGGUUUGUAUUGCGGUAUAUGAAGCAACUGGCAGUCAAGUUCAGCUAGCCCUUGAGAGAGGUCUUCCAGCAAUUAUUGGCAAUUUCAUCUCACGGCAGCUUCCAUAUCCAUCAUUGUCAUUUGACAUGGUUCAUUGUGCUCAAUGUGGCAUUAAUUGGGAUGAAAAAGAUGGCAUGUUCCUUAUUGAAGUUGAUCGAGUUCUCAAGCCUGGAGGUUACUUUGUUUUAACCUCACCAGUAAGCAAGCCACAUGGGAGCUCCUUGAACUCAAGGAGGAGAAACACAAUGACACUUAUAGAAGAAUUAACUGAAAAAAUAUGUUGGACUUUUCUGGCCCAGCAGGAAGAGACUUUCGUAUGGCAGAAAACUGUUCAUGUCAAUUGCUAUAAAUCUCGUAAGCAGGAUACUCCACCACUAUGCAAUGAUGGUCCUGAUAAUUCACCAUAUUAUCAACCUCUUGUGGCAUGUAUAACUGGAACCACCAGCAAACACUGGAUUCCCAUUCAGAACAAGUCUUCGGGUUUCCAUUUGAGCUCAGCUGAGCUUCAAGUUCAUGGAGUUCAGCCUGAAGAUUUCUUUGAAGACUUGCAAUUUUGGGGAUCAGCUCUGAGAAACUAUUGGUCUUUGCUUACACCCUUAAUUUUCUCUGACCAUCCUAAGAGGCCAGGGGAUGAAGAUCCAUUACCUCCAUAUAACAUGAUACGUAAUGUGAUGGACAUGAAUGCUCAUUAUGGGGGUUUAAAUGCUGCAUUUCUGGAGGGAAAAAAAUCAGUGUGGGUGAUGAAUGUUGUACCUGUUUGGGCUCGUAACACACUUCCUCUCAUACUUGACCGAGGUUUUGCUGGUGUUUUGCAUGAUUGGUGUGAACCCUUCCCUACAUACCCCCGUACAUAUGACAUGCUUCAUGCAAAUGGGCUUCUCUCACAUCUCAGUUCAGAGAGGUGCAGCAUGAUGGACUUGCUUUUAGAGAUGGAUCGAAUUCUACGACCUGAGGGAUGGAUUGUUCUUUCUGAUAAAUUAGGCGCCAUUGAGAUGGCACGGGCACUCGCUACACAGAUAAACUGGGAAGCGAGGGUGAUCGACUUGCAGAAUGGCAGCGACCAGCGGCUACUUGUUUGCCAGAAACCAUUUGUGAGAAAAUGAUUGAUCUAGCAUCAGGGGUCUCACAAUUUCUGAAAUGUACAGUCUUUAGCUCUGGUCAUGAAUAUUUUUGAUAGCAUCAUUAUGCGGCUCGACCACUUAAACCCAGAGAAGCUGUAGAGUAGAAGGGAGGCUGGCUGGCUGCACAAGUAGCUGGAAAGCAUGCAAUUUUUGUCAAAGCAUUUGUAGUAAUUCAUUCAUCAUUUUUUUUUCAACACAAAAUUCUUUUGAGUGUUAUUUUUCUGUCCUUUUUCUUUUUUUAAAUAUCAGACGUAAUUACUGUGUUGAACAAUCACUACUGUCGAGGAUGAACUGAACUGACAGACGAUGAAAUGAUAGUUACACAAUGUUCUCUCUCGGUUUGGACUCGGGAUCUUUAUAUAUUGGAAGUUGAAGGGGGGUUUUUUUUAAAUUUUAUUGUUUCAGCUGUACUGUUUAGAAGGUUAGGUCUAAAGCUUUUCAAGUGAAUAUGUUUAUACAGUGGAAAAUUCUGUAUCUGAACUCAGCAUUCUCUUCUAUGCUUUUCUUUCUUAUGUAGUGAAAGUGAUUCUUUUUUUUUUU